ACGAACGCUGGCGGCGUGCUUAACACAUGCAAGUCGAACGGAAAGGCCCAGCUUGCUGGGUGCUCGAGUGGCGAACGGGUGAGUAACACGUGGGUGAUCUGCCUCUAACUUCGGGAUAAGCUUGGGAAACUGGGUCUAAUACCGGAUAGGACAAUCGUUUAGUGUCGGUUGUGGAAAGUUUUUUCGGUUAGGGAUGAGCCCGCGGCCUAUCAGCUUGUUGGUGGGGUAAUGGCCUACCAAGGCGUCGACGGGUAGCCGGCCUGAGAGGGUGGACGGCCACAUUGGGACUGAGAUACGGCCCAGACUCCUACGGGAGGCAGCAGUGGGGAAUAUUGCACAAUGGGCGCAAGCCUGAUGCAGCGACGCCGCGUGGGGGAUGACGGCCUUCGGGUUGUAAACCUCUUUCGACAGGGACGAAGCUUUGGUGACGGUACCUGUAGAAGAAGCACCGGCUAACUACGUG
rnacentral:rRNA from 1 species